AAAUGUUGUCACAUAUAAUACACUUAUGAGAGGCUUCUGCGAAAAUAAUGAGGCACCAAAAGUGGUAGAACUGCUUCGGAAAAUGGUUGAGAGAGAUGUUUCACCAGAUGCAUCCACAGUCUCCAUCGUAAUAGACUUGCUGUCAAAGGAUGAAAAAUAUCAUGAAUAUCUGAAUUUGCUCCCAACAUUUCCUGCCCAGGUCCAACAGAAAGGUGAUAGGACAACUGUGAAGUCACAAUCAUGAGUUUUGGUGGAUGAUUUGAUUUUGAAGAACCCCUGAUGAGGAUCAACGUUUUUUCAGAAGCGAGGAAGCAUUUUUGUAUGUUGGCGAAGUCCAAAUGGAAAUAACACUUAAUUUUGAAGUUAUUAUGAUGAGGUCAAUCUAUAAGUGUUAUCAUAAAGGAUCCUUCUGGUGAAUUGUGAAGAGGAAUUGAACUGCGAGUAUGAGCAUCUGUUGUGUAAUGCAGAAUUACCAAGUCAAGAUGUUUGGAUGGAAACAUAGCGCAGGACACAGCACAUGCAUGGACACACCUGAUAUUUCCUCUUACUCUCAAGUCUCAUGAACUAUGGAGAUGAUAGCAAAAGCCAAUACAGCUGAUCAAAAACAGGCGAUGAUGCAUUCUCUACUCUCUAUCAGAGUUUUAAUGGGAUGUCCAGUCACUUGUUUCCAAAAGUCUCUUCAACAUUAGUCUUUCAGAUUUUGUGGAUUGACAAUGGACUUUUGAGGAUUGACAACAGGAAAUGACCUACAGGGAAACCAGGGUUACUGUAUUCUUGUAAUUUGGUUACCAUGAACAAUAAUGAGGUCCAAAGAAUAUUCAUAUUAGAAGUAUGAGAUCAUAUUUUUCCACAGCCAAAGUUGAAAAGCACAUAUGUUCAAAGUUUGUUCGCUCUCAAGGGCAGUCUUUGUGCCUUCUUUGGCCUAAAUUGAGAAUGAAGACCCUGUCAUGCAUGCAUCAGACACAAACCCUUCCAACAGUGCAAUAAAAUGAGGCCAAAUGAGGCCUAUGGAAUCUUUAGUUGUGGGAAGAACACAAUCUGUUGGCAGGAUGUUUUUGCUGCCCUUUUUUUGUUGAGAUUUUUUUCUGAGCUCUUCCUAACCACCAGAUGGCACAUGAAUGAUGAAAAAACAGUUGUCCUUUCUCUGUGGUAAUCAAACAAAGCUGGUCACUCACCAACCUAGCAAGCUAACCUAUGAAAGUUGUUUCCAAACUUCCCAUCUCAAUGCAGUUGUGGAAACAUCAUAUUCUUCAUGCUGAUCAUAAAUGAUUACAAUAUCAGGUAACCCCACGUAUAUUUAAUCACGCCCAAAUAUAUUUGCAAGUGUGAUAAUUGUCGUUUCAUUUGUAGACAGAGAAUCCCGUGCCCUAUGAAAGAAUAUAUAAAGUUUGACAACGCUUGUCUGUUUAA